GCCCAAAGGUUCCCUCAGCCUGGUUGGCAAUCAGGUGUUGAGUGUAAGUGCACAAGGGAGCUUGACUGUGAGACUGACGGGUCGAGCAGGGACGAAAGUCGGGACUAGUGAUCCGGCACCACCUUGUGGAAGGGGUGUCGCUCAACGGAUAAAAGGUACCCCGGGGAUAACAGGCUGAUCUUGCCCAAGAGUCCAUAUCGACGGCAUGGUUUGGCACCUCGAUGUCGGCUCGUCGCAUCCUGGGG
rnacentral:rRNA from 1 species